rnacentral:rRNA from 1 species
UACGGAGGGUGCGAGCGUUGUCCGGAAUCACUGGGCGUAAAGGGCGCGUAGGCGGCUCGGUAAGCGUGUGGUGAAAGCUCGGGGCUCAACCCCGAGUCGGCCGUGCGAACUGUCGAGCUUGAGCACUGUAGAGGCAGGUGGAAUUCCGGGUGUAGCGGUGGAAUGCGUAGAGAUCCGGAAGAACACCGGUGGCGAAGGCGGCCUGCUGGGCAGUUGCUGACGCUGAGGCGCGACAGCGUGGGGAGCAAACAGGAUUAGAAACCCCCGUAGUCC